AGGACGAACGCUGGCGGCGUGCUUAACACAUGCAAGUCGAACGGAAAGGCCCUUUCGGGGGUACUCGAGUGGCGAACGGGUGAGUAACACGUGGGUGAUCUGCCCUGCACUUCGGGAUAAGCUUGGGAAACUGGGUCUAAUACCGGAUAGGACUACGGACUUCAUGGUUUGUGGUGGAAAGCUUUUGCGGUGUGGGAUGGGCCCGCGGCCUAUCAGCUUGUUGGUGGGGUGAUGGCCUACCAAGGCGACGACGGGUAGCCGGCCUGAGAGGGUGUCCGGCCACACUGGGACUGAGAUACGGCCCAGACUCCUACGGGAGGCAGCAGUGGGGAAUAUUGCACAAUGGGCGCAAGCCUGAUGCAGCGACGCCGCGUGGGGGAUGACGGCCUUCGGUGUAACCUCUUUCACCAUCGGCGAAGCCAGUAGUUUUGUCUAUUGGUGACGGUAGGUGGAGAAGAAGCACCGGCCAACUACGUGCCAGCAGCCGCGGU
rnacentral:rRNA from 1 species